rnacentral:sRNA from 1 species
UGGGAAGUGAUGAUAAGAUAUAUCAAUAUGUCAUAGGCAC